AUGGGGAUGGGGAGAUGGAAAGCUCAGGGAGCGGCCGUGACCCUGCUGGAGUCCGGGGGGGACCUCCAGCCCCCCGGGGGGUCCCUGCGCCUCCUCUGCCGAGGGUCCGGGUUUGAUUUCGGGAGCUACGACCUGGACUGGGUUCGUCACAGCCCCGGGCAGGCGCUGGAACUCAUCGCGUGGAUCAGGAACGAUGGUGGCAACACCUGGUAUGCGCCCUCGGUGCAGGGCCGGGUGACGAUCUCCAGGGACAACGGGCAGAGCUCGGUGACGCUGACCAUGAACAGCCUCAGGGACGAGGAUUCCGGAUCCUAUUUCUGUGCCAGAUGUGUGGAUUCUGGUUGUUGUAUCGGUGCUGGUGCUGCUGCUGCUUCUGGUCCUGGUCCUGAGCCGCCAACGCUGCGCCCUCAAAUGUCCCAGAAUUCUCUGAUCCUUCCCAGAAAUCCCAUCCAUUCUCCUCAAAUCUUGGCCAAUUUUGCCCAAACUCUGCCACCAUUGCCCUAA